GGUCGUUUAGCUCAGUUGGUUAGAGCGUGGUGCUAAUAACGCCAAGGUCGCGAGUUCGACGUACGAUCAAACAAUUCCCGUUAACGCUCCG
rnacentral:tRNA from 1 species